rnacentral:lncRNA from 1 species
AAACACAGAGCAGUAAAUGCCCCCAGCGGCUCCCCAGCCUCUGGCAUUUGAUUUUUGCAGCGGGCAGGAUUUACGGCUGACAAUGCGCCUUGUUAAGCCGGGCAGGAGGGAGCUGAUUCCCAAUGUGGACUUUUUUUUAUGUAUCUUUUUACUUUGCAAUUUCUUUUAGGAUGUGAAUAAAAAUGGGUUCAGGUGACAUUGGUGAGUUUAUACAGCAGCAUCUGGCAUCAGGAUUUCUGAUCGCUGCUCGGGGGGUGCUUAGCGGUGACACACUUGGUUAAAAGAGCACUGCUGAGUGGCUUUGAUUCAGUUCCUGUUGAAUUUCACAAUACUUCCCUAAUGCCACAUUAAGCAUGGAGUGGGGAGGGCUCCCAUUUAUCAGCGUGAGAGCUUUAUUGCCGUACAGUGCCGGGCUUUUUUUCUAAUCUUAUUUGUGCGUGUGAAAGCAACGUCACCCCUGACGCCAGCAGCGAGGGCAGGUUCUUCAGCGACCCUUCCGAGAAGGCGGCCGUCACCAUCCAGACCCACUUCAGGAGGUACCAGCAGCAGAAGCAGGAGAAGAAGUAGCUGCCUUGCCCACGCCCUGCACCAUCCCUCCUCUUGUCUGUUGUGUUCCCCAGCCAGAUUUGUGCCCGUGAACCCGCUAGGUAGCUCUUGGUGCACGCACAGCUGUAGGUGCUCCGCUGUUGGCUGCGGGUCGGUGGGGUCCUGGUGGCUCCUUCCUUCCCCAAAUAGCACUGCCCCGUGGCCAGGGACCACCAGCAAGGGGCUGUUGGCUGGGACCUCAGCACCCAGCAGCUCUGGCACUUGUCCUUUUCCUGGUGGCAGCACCCCCAGCUGCGUGGUGGCAGGCCCUGGGGAUGCCCAGCUGAGAGCUGUUGUGCCCAGCCAGCUGCCCAGCUGGGGCUCGUUGUGCUCACAACAGCUCCACUUUGCAGCUGGAGCUGGGGUUGGAACAUCAGCUUUCUUCCCUGACCCAACAUGGUGCCUACGAGCUGGCUGGGAAUGGGGUGCCACCAGGUAAGGGGAGCAGGAGGUGUGCCAUGUGCUGGGUGUGAGCUGAUUUUUGCUUUUCUCGGGCAGCACUGGGUGUCCUGGCUUUGGAAUGAGAGGGAGACUGGUUUUUUAGCAGCUAUUUUUGAGUACUGGCUUUCCUAGUGUGCAGAGCUCUCGAGAAAGAGGGGAAAAUAAAAACAGAUAGGAGGCCA